CGCACGGUUAAUUUUAUUUUUGAUUUUCCACCGUGGGGUAGUAUUCAUGAUUCAGAUUAAUAUUUAAAUAUGUAUGGGAAUCAGGUAUUGUGGAUUCAUGGCUUCCAAUAAACGCAAGCGUUUAUUGUUAAUUACCCCUACAAAGUGUUAGGGCACCUUCGAUUAAGAGACCUUUAUAAUGCUGUGAUUGAAUAAAAGAUGAAUUUUAUAACAUAAUUCAGUAUGAUGGUUGAUUGAAUUUGAUUCUGAAUCAAAGUGUACAAUCAAAUUGAUUUGAUUGGGCCUCAUAUGUUUUAGUGCUCAACAAUAUUGUUCACCCUAAGGUGAAAGGUUGGUUAAAUUCCCUAUAUAUACAUUGGAAUUUAAUCAGAUUUGAUUCAAAUUAAACUCUAAUUAAAUGAAUUAGAGUUCGAUUUAGUUAAUUGAACUUUAAAUAUAUGUGAUAAAGUCUAAUGGGAUUUGAUUUAAGCUUUCAUCCUAGAUGUAUAUGUUAGGAUUAGCUCAAAUAUUUUGGAUUAGACUCUAAUUUUAU
rnacentral:lncRNA from 1 species